UAUUAGUAUUUUGAAGGCAGCUAAUUUGAAGGCCAAUUGUGAGCGAAGAAGCUCAUAGUAAGCAGGUAAAGGUUGAGAGUUGAAGUCCUAAUGGCUGUACCUCAACAGUUACGCUGCUACUAUUUUAAUGUUUCAAGAGGGUUUCACUUGCAUGUAAUUGGAAGUGGAAGUAGUAAUGUUCUUUCCUCUCAGGCAUUGCAUCAAACAGUUUCAAUACACUCUCAGUCACAGGCGCCUUUCAACUUCAACUUCAACUUCAAUUUGGAUGACCCAACUCUACCAAAGUUCCUGGAAUUGCUCAAAAAGGUGACCCAUUCGUCACAGCAAGCAUUAGGUCUCCACUUGUCAGGUUUCCAAGCAAAUAGGGAUUUGAUAUGUUCCGCUAUUUGGGUGUUGAGGGAAGAAUGGAAACCUGCGUUGCUUGCCUUCAAAUGGAGUUGCCAUGGUAAUGAUGAGAAAGUUUGCAACUUGAUGAUAUGGGUCUUGGCAACUCAUGGAAAAUUUUCCACUGCUUGGUGCAUCAUUCGAGAUAUGCAUCGUUCCUCUCUCUCCACGCGUCAGGCUAUGCUUAUUAUGAUUGAUAGAUAUGCAUCCGCAAACAACUCAGCCAAGGCUAUUCAAACAUUCAACUUUAUGGACAGACUUCAGAUUGACUCCUGAUCAGGAAGCAUUCCAUGCACUUUUGACUGCUCUUUGUAAAUAUAGAAACGUUGAAGAAGAUGAAGAGUUUAUGCUAGUAAAUAAGAAGCUCUUCCAUCUCGAUACCGAGGGCUUUAACAUUAUUCUUAAUGGAUGGUGUAACAUAACAAAGGAUAUAUAUGAAGCAAAAAAGAGUUUGGAGAGAAAUGUCGAAAUACUGUAUAACACCAGAUGCUACUUCGUAUAGCUACAUGAUUUCCUGCUUUUCAAAGGAAGGGAAUCUUUUUGACUCUCUUAGGCUCUAUGAUCAGAUGAAGAAAAGGGGAUGGAUCCCUGGGAUAGAGAUUUACAAUUCAUUAGUAUAUGUUUUAACUCAUGAAAAUUGCUUGAAGGAAGCUCUCAGGACAAUAGAUAAGUUGAAAGAACAAGGUUUGCAACCAGGUUCUGUCACCUUCAACUCCAUGAUACUCUCUCUUUGUGAAGCUGGAAAGCUAGCUGAGGCAAGGAUAAUAUUUAACUCAAUGGUAGAGGAGAAUGUUAGUCCAACCACUGAGACCUAUCAUGCAUUUUUUGAGGGAACAGAUUAUCAAGGAACAUUGGAAUUUCUAACUAGGAUGAAAGAUUCUGGUUUGGGUCCUAGUAAGGAUUCCUUUGUCAUAAUUCUGGCAAAAUUCUUAAAGUUGAAGCAACCUGUAAAUGCACCAAAAUUUUGGACAGAAAUGAAGACAUAUGAUGUGCUGCCCAGUUGUGUGCAUUACAGAAUAAUGGUUGAAGGGCUAGUAACAUGUAGGUGGUUCAUAAAGGCCAGGGGUUUUUAUGAGGAGAUGAUUUCAAAUGGAUGUUCAGCUGAUCCAAUGCUUAAUAGGCUCUUUCAGGAAGAAGUACUUGGUAGUGGUGAUAAAGGAAAACAGAAUGUUAAAAAGGCUCAUAGUAAUAAAAGUGUGAAAUAUUCUGAAAAAUGAUAAGAUGAAGAAGAAAAAUUAUCAAGACCAGAGAAGAAAGAAGACAUUCUCUAACUAACUUGGAGCAGAGAGCAGAACCUCCCAAUAUUUUCCGUUCUACAUUCUACCACUGUGAAUACAAUGUAUCACUUAGUGCUAAGAUGGUUAACUAUGGCAGGAUAUGUUGAGUAGUUCAUUUUGUCAAAAUCCUGACAGUUGAUGCAUUAUGGCUGUGGCCCCUUGACUCCCUACCCAAGUUUUGAAUUUCAUUACUGGAGCAGAUGUACUGAAGACAUGGGAAAAUAUUAACCCAUUAUUAUCUGAUCAUUAAGUAAACGCUUGACGGUUUUGGUUGCUGCUGCAUGCUCCAGACCUCAUACUCCAUUGUUUUGAUUGUCGUGGUUCAUAAUACAAAAUCAUACAAAGCUCAUAUUUGGUUGUCUUCCUGAGUGUUCUCAAUUGAUUGUAAAAAUGAGUCCAAUAACAUUCCAUUCCAAUUUAAUAUCUAUAUAAAAAGCAGCACCUUAUGCCAAAAACGAUGAGUAGUAUGUUCUCUUCCACUAGUUUUUAAGAGAAGAUCAGUUUAUAAUUAAAGGAGCAGAAGACCAGAAGACUGGACCUAUGAAUUGGUGCUUCCUAUUGUGAAUUGUUCUGUCUAGCAAGCUGGUAAAUUAUUCCUUUCAUACAUCUAUGGUAGAUGAUCCGUCUCCAUUUGCUCCCUCCCUACCCUCUCAUCAUAAAGUAGAGCAGGAGUUCUGUCUAUGCACCCAGAAUCAGGUAACAUCUUGGAGUACAUUCUCUUUGCUCAAUAUUCUCCCUUCCAGUUACCCCAUGAAAUUUGUUCCUUGACCUACAAAGAGUAAUGUAGGGACACUUUCAAGUAUCACACCAUUGAUGGCUUUCCCUGUCCGUCUGCUUUAAGUCGUUGCCAGCCAAUCCAGAAUAAGAAUACGAUUCAAGAAUCAAGAUCAUUUACUAUUUAAUGAUCUCACAUGUAUUUUAUCCACUAAUAAAGGGUGUAUUCUAAUGACAAGUGUGUUAAUAAUAUGAUAAAGAAGAUUUUAGCUAGCAUUCCUCUUUAUCUAUUUCAACAAAAACAUUGAGUGUAAACUUGACGGUUAGAAAAGAGAAGAGGAGAAAGGAAAAGGCAAGUGGAAGUUCAAUAUUAAAAGGAGCAGGAGUGAACGAGAAGCAGUCUAAGGCUAAAGUGAGUGGGUUCCUGUUUUGUACCCUUAUCCUUCAAAUCCAACCACUUAACCCAAAGUCAUCUGUUGCUCUACUUAGAUUUCGUCUUGGUGACUACAUCACAUAUCUUGUUUAAAACUUCAAACUUAAUGCAUAAUUAUAAAAAGGAUUAACGUGCUAAUUCA